rnacentral:rRNA from 1 species
CCCUUAGAUGUUCUGGGCCGCACGCGCGCUACACUGACGGAUUCAACGAGCUUACAACCUUGGCCGAAAGGUCUGGGUAAUCUCCAAAAUCCGUCGUGAUGGGGAUAGAUUAUUGCAAUUAUUAAUCUUCAACGAGGAAUGCCUAGUAGGCGCAAGUCAUCAGCUUGCGUCGAUUACGUCCCUGCCCUUUGUACACACCGCCCGUCGCUCCUACCGAUUGGGUGUGCUGGUGAAAUGUUCGGAUCGGCCGUUUGUCGCGGUUUCCGCGUCAUGUGGCUGAGAAGUUCAUUAAACCCUCCCACCUAGAGGAAGGAGAAGUCGUAACA